UGAGUAAUGCCUAGGAAUCUGCCUGGUAGUGGGGGACAACGUUUCGAAAGGAACGCUAAUACCGCAUACGUCCUACGGGAGAAAGUGGGGGAUCUUCGGACCUCACGCUAUCAGAUGAGCCUAGGUCGGAUUAGCUAGUUGGUGAGGUAAAGGCUCACCAAGGCGACGAUCCGUAACUGGUCUGAGAGGAUGAUCAGUCACACUGGAACUGAGACACGGUCCAGACUCCUACGGGAGGCAGCAGUGGGGAAUAUUGGACAAUGGGCGAAAGCCUGAUCCAGCCAUGCCGCGUGUGUGAAGAAGGUCUUCGGAUUGUAAAGCACUUUAAGUUGGGAGGAAGGGCAGUAAGUUAAUACCUUGCUGUUUUGACGUUACCAACAGAAUAAGCACCGGCUAACUUCGUGCCAGCAGCCGCGGUAAUACGAAGGGUGCAAGCGUUAAUCGGAAUUACUGGGCGUAAAGCGCGCGUAGGUGGUUCGUUAAGUUGGAUGUGAAAGCCCCGGGCUCAACCUGGGAACUGCAUCCAAAACUGGCGAGCUAGAGUAUGGCAGAGGGUGGUGGAAUUUCCUGUGUAGCGGUGAAAUGCGUAGAUAUAGGAAGGAACACCAGUGGCGAAAGCGACCACCUGGGCUAAUACUGACACUGAGUGCGAAAGCGUGGGGAGCAAACAGGAUUAGAUACCCUGGUAGUCCACGCCGUAAACGAUGUCGACUAGCCGUUGGGAUCCUGAGAUCUAGUGCGCAGCUAACGCAUUAAGUCGACGCUGGGGAGUACGGCGCAA
rnacentral:rRNA from 1 species